AUUGUCCCACAAAUAUGUAGGACCUUCCAAAAUUUUACUUCAAGCCACAGUAGCCUAAACUCUGGGAGAUCAUUAACAACU